GUGCUCGCUUUGGCAGCACAUAUACUAAAAUUAUCAACGAUAUAGAGAUUAGCAUGGCCCCUGUGCAAGGAUGACAGGAAAAUUCGUGAAGCGUUCUGUAUUUUU